GCUUCUUUUUCCACCGGAGCUUGCUCCACCGGAAAAAGAGGAGUGGCGAACGGGUGAGUAACACGUGGGUAACCUGCCCAUCAGAAGGGGAUAACACUUGGAAACAGGUGCUAAUACCGUAUAACAAUCAAAACCGCAUGGUUUUGAUUUGAAAGGCGCUUUCGGGUGUCGCUGAUGGAUGGACCCGCGGUGCAUUAGCUAGUUGGUGAGGUAACGGCUCACCAAGGCCACGAUGCAUAGCCGACCUGAGAGGGUGAUCGGCCACAUUGGGACUGAGACACGGCCCAAACUCCUACGGGAGGCAGCAGUAGGGAAUCUUCGGCAAUGGACGAAAGUCUGACCGAGCAACGCCGCGUGAGUGAAGAAGGUUUUCGGAUCGUAAAACUCUGUUGUUAGAGAAGAACAAGGAUGAGAGUAACUGUUCAUCCCUUGACGGUAUCUAACCAGAAAGCCACGGCUAACUACGUGCCAGCAGCCGCGGUAAUACGUAGGUGGCAAGCGUUGUCCGGAUUUAUUGGGCGUAAAGCGAGCGCAGGCGGUUUCUUAAGUCUGAUGUGAAAGCCCCCGGCUCAACCGGGGAGGGUCAUUGGAAACUGGGAGACUUGAGUGCAGAAGAGGAGAGUGGAAUUCCAUGUGUAGCGGUGAAAUGCGUAGAUAUAUGGAGGAACACCAGUGGCGAAGGCGGCUCUCUGGUCUGUAACUGACGCUGAGGCUCGAAAGCGUGGGGAGCAAACAGGAUUAGAUACCCUGGUAGUCCACGCCGUAAACGAUGAGUG
rnacentral:rRNA from 1 species